ACUUCUCCUAAUGCUGCAGUGGUCUCUGGCAGUUGAAAUGUAUCAAACUUGGAGUUUAAAACUAGGUUUAAAGUUUUUAAUUUUGGAUUUUAAAUGGUUGUAACUCAGCUUGAGACCUACUGGUGAAGGGUGGAUUAUAACAGUAAUAUAUAUUCAGAGAGAUAAUACACAUUUAAAUAGGAACCAUUGGAGAGGGAUUGUAGCUUAGUGGCAGAACACGUCUUUUUUUCUCUCCAUGCAAAAGGUCUCAGGUUCAAUCCCCAGCAACCAGAGGACAGAUUUACUCCAGUAUAUGCAUUUUGAAUGCACAACUCCAUUGGACAACUGCAUCGUAAAAUUCAGAGCAGCACGAAUUUCAAAGGACAGCACAAAUGAGAUUUGGGGAAGGGCCAUAACUGGAGCAGGAGAAGUUGCGGCAUGGAACAACAACAACAACAACAACAACAACAACAA